GUGGUGGAUUAGUGGCGAACGGGUGAGUAACACGUGGGCAAUCUGCCCUUCACUCUGGGACAAGCCCUGGAAACGGGGUCUAAUACCGGAUAACACUCUGUCCCGCAUGGGACGGGGUUGAAAGCUCCGGCGGUGAAGGAUGAGCCCGCGGCCUAUCAGCUUGUUGGUGGGGUAAUGGCCUACCAAGGCGACGACGGGUAGCCGGCCUGAGAGGGCGACCGGCCACACUGGGACUGAGACACGGCCCAGACUCCUACGGGAGGCAGCAGUGGGGAAUAUUGCACAAUGGGCGAAAGCCUGAUGCAGCGACGCCGCGUGAGGGAUGACGGCCUUCGGGUUGUAAACCUCUUUCAGCAGGGAAGAAGCGAAAGUGACGGUACCUGCAGAAGAAGCGCCGGCUAACUACGUGCCAGCAGCCGCGGUAAUACGUAGGGCGCAAGCGUUGUCCGGAAUUAUUGGGCGUAAAGAGCUCGUAGGCGGCUUGUCACGUCGGAUGUGAAAGCCCGGGGCUUAACCCCGGGUCUGCAUUCGAUACGGGCUAGCUAGAGUGUGGUAGGGGAGAUCGGAAUUCCUGGUGUAGCGGUGAAAUGCGCAGAUAUCAGGAGGAACACCGGUGGCGAAGGCGGAUCUCUGGGCCAUUACUGACGCUGAGGAGCGAAAGCGUGGGGAGCGAACAGGAUUAGAUACCCUGGUAGUCCACGCCGUAAACGUUGGGAACUAGGUGUUGGCGACAUUCCACGUCGUCGGUGCCGCAGCUAACGCAUUAAGUUCCCCGCCUGGGGAGUACGGCCGCAAGGCUAAAACUCAAAGGAAUUGACGGGGGCCCGCACAAGCAGCGGAGCAUGUGGCUUAAUUCGACGCAACGCGAAGAACCUUACCAAUAGGAGUCAUAUCCGGAAAGCAUCAGAGACGGUGCCCCCCUUCUGGUCGGUAUCCAGGUGGUGCAUGCCUGUGGUCAGCUCCUGUCGUGAUAUGUCGGGCUAAGUCCCGCAACGAGCGCAACCCUGGUUGGGUGUUGCCAGCAGGCCCUUUGGGGUGAUGGGGACUCACAGGAGACUGCCGCGGUCAGAUCGGAGGAAGGUGGGGACGACGUCAAGUCAUCAUCCCCCCUAUGUGUUGGGCUGCACUCGUGGUACAAUGUCCGGUUCAAUGAGGUGCGAUGGCGGGAGGCGGAGCGAAUCUCAAAAAGCCGGUCUCAGUUUGGACUGGGGUCUGCAACUCGACCCCAUGAAGUCGGAGUUCGUAGUAAUCGCAGAUCAGCACGGCCCGGUGAAUACGUUCCCGGACGUUGUACACACCCCCCGUCACGUCAGGAAAGUCGGUACCAUCCGAACCCGGUGGCCCUUCCCCUCAUGGUAGGGAUCUGUCGCAGGUGGGACGCGCGA
rnacentral:rRNA from 1 species